rnacentral:rRNA from 1 species
UUGUCUUGAGGGUUAAGCCAUGCACGCCUAUGCUCACCCUACACAGAAGGGGAAGCCGCGAACUGCUCAGUAUAUCGGCGAUAAUACACGGGGUGGGCGAUGUUUGUCCGGACACCUGUAGGAAUCCCAGAGCUAAUACGUGCACACGAGUCCUCCUCCCAACGGGGUUUCCUCCGCGGGGAGAGGGCGCAUUUAUUAGGAUCUUGACCGGCGGUGGGCAGUCAACGCUGUUCACCAGGCUGAGGCGAACUCUGGGUAUGUGACGACCGCUGUUAGCGGCGUGCCCGUUUGCUCGCCGUCCCAUCAAAUUAAGACGGCCCGGGCAAGAGCUCCCCUUGUUGGCUACGGGUGACGGAGGAUCAGGGUUCGAUCCCGGAGAGGGAGCCUGCGAGACGGCUACCACGCUUAAGGGUGGCAGCAGGCGCGCAACUUACCCACUCCCUGCACGGUGAGGUAGUGAAGAUAAAUGUCGGGGCUGGGCUCGCAUGCGAGCCUAGUGGUCGGAUUGAGCGUAGACCAAUCAUUUGCCGUUGAUGACCUAUCGGAGGGCAAGUCUGGUGCCAGCAGCCGCGGGCUGAAACUUAAAGGAAUUGACGGAAGGGCACCACCAGGAGUGGAGCCUGCGGCUCAAUUUGACUCAACACGGGGAAGCUUACCAGGUCCGGACACCGUGCGGAUUGACAGACUGAGGCUCUUUCAUGAUUCGGUGGGUGGUGGUGCAUGGCCGUUGCUAGCCCGUGGAGCGAUCCGUCUGGUUCAUUCCGAUAACGGGCGAGACUCUGCCCUGGCGGAUAACAAACGGCGGUCAAGAGGGGUCUGUCUCACGGGUUGGGUCGGCGCUGGGCCUUCGCGGGUCGGGCGUCGGUCUUCCCACUCAGGGAGAGUCAGCGCCCCGGACCGCCGUCGCGCAGGCCGCGUCCUGCAGGGAUUGACCUCGAGCAGUGCGUACGAGAUGGAGCCAUAGCAGGUCUGUGAUGCCCUUAGACGUCCUGGGCUGCACGUGUGCUACAGUGGUGGCGCCAGCCGGCGCGGUGUAGACCGUGAGCGUAGGAGUCUUCAUGUCCGGGGUCGGUCUUCCUGCGAGUUGGGCCGUGAACUCGGAAUGCCACGUAGUCACGGGUCAGCAUCCCGUGCCGACUACGUCCCUGCCCUUUGUACACACCGCCCGUCGCUACCUUCGGUGGACGGCGCAGCCAGGGCCCCGGAGUGGCCGGCGAACAGGAGCCUCGUGUUCCUGAAAUCGCAGUCGUCGCGAUGUCGCCCGAACUGCGCUGCCCCGAGAGGGUAAAAGUCGUAACAAGGUUA